CUCGCGCGCCGCCCGCCGCCCCGCGCACGCGCGUCGCCCCCUGCUUCUUCCGCGAGGGUCUGCGGGGAGCGCGCGUCCGACGGUAAUGAUGAAACUCCUGCUCUGGUCCGAGCUACCGGUGAACAGCGCCCAGCGGGCCGGGCCCCAACCUCGCUCCUGAGCCUGAACAUCCCCCCAACCCCGCCGUGAGAAUUCAGCGAAGAGUAAAAGCUGGAAAAAGUUGCGUGUCUCAGGCUAAGCAGAAGAAAGUGGGGUGACGGCUCCCCCGCUAGGAAGAGAGAUGCCCUUAGGGAGCCCCCUGAUGGAAGAGCUCUCCGCUUAAGAAGGUCACCACUCCCUUACACUCAGAGCAGCAGACUCCCUUGAUUGUCCUUACCUGAGGCAUCAAGAGAGAGGUCAUCUAUCAUUUCCCAGCCCAAGAUUUCUUCCACACAAUGAUGCUGACCAGCGAGGCAACAUGGGUAUGCAACUAUCACGCAGAACAUUAAUGGAGGAUGAGAGUGCAGUUACUAAGGAGACAUUAGAAGCUUCAGGGAGAAAAGGAAAAGGAAAGGCA
rnacentral:lncRNA from 1 species